GUACUAAUAGCUUAAAAAUAAAGCAUUAGUUUUGUAAACUAAAAAUGAAGGUUAAACCCCAUCUUAGUACU
rnacentral:tRNA from 1 species